GUCCCUGUAACGCAAUUGAUAGCCGAUUGGAUUUCUAAUCCAACGAUUCGUGGGUUCGAAUCCCAUCUGGGAUG